AAAUAACUACAUUCUAAUGAAAAUCAGGUUUGAUUUGUUUGUUUUGAAGUAAUAUUGGGAAAGUUACAUUGGGUUUUUUGUUUUUUUUUUCCAUCUGUAGCACUGGUUACUUUGAACAAAUAAAAAGCUUUCUGUAGUUGCCUUCUUCAGUAGGAAAUAAUUUGAUACCAUGGUAUAUUAUUUCCUCAGCAUUAGAGAACAGUUUUUCUAAAUGUUGGAGGAAAUCUCCAUAGUCAUUACUCAAUCAGAAUUUAGAAUUUGCAUUUAACUCAUAUAUGCCUGAGGACCAUUCUAAGUUUUUUAUAUGUAUACAUAAAAGACAUAUGUAAAUGCUUUGGAAGUUAACUUUAUUUGUUGUAGUUUUUGUUUUGGUAAAUAUAUUUAAAUCACAGCCUUUCAUAACCAUGGAUAAGCCCAUGUUCUGGAAUUACAUCAUUUUGAGCAAUAUAAGAAAUAACUUCAACUUAGACUAAAAAUUUAAGUCUUAACCUUUCAAAUUAAAUAAUUUUGUAAUUAGACACAUUAAGGAAUUUAAAUUGGGUAAUUUUUUAAAGCAUCCCUAUCAGAAUCUGCAUAUAAAUGCAGUUUUAUAUGUAGAAACCCUGGAAGGAAAAUUUUUAUCACUAUCAACCACCUUCCCAAUCAAAUGAAAAAAGUAGAAAAAUUCUGGUAUGUUUUAAUAUAGCAAAGCAAAACUUAAUUAAAUGGACACUUGAUGAUUCCUUCUGGUGAACCAUUGUUUUACAAGAAAUUGAAGUCUCUGUGCUGUAUUUAGGAAAGGUUGUGAUACAUGGGAUGUCUCAGAUUUGUUCAUGGAAACCUAAUCAGAUAGUUUUUAAAUAUUGGCAGUUUACAAUCUACAGGAAUAAAUGAGUGAACAAACUUUUCUAAUCUACGCUUGACCUACAUGUAUUUUCAGACUUGACUCCAAUCCAUUCCUUACAUGAAGGCUCAAUUUUCUCAGUAUUUUGGGUUACUAGUUCAGCAGAAGCCAAGAAAAACAAUAACUUUGUAGUAAUCAGAAUGUUAUUCAACUGUAUAUUGUUUACUUUAUUGUAAAUACUGGUGAACAGUGGUCAAUAAAUAGUUUUAUAUUCCUUUAAAAAAAUAAAUAAAA
ensembl:lncRNA